rnacentral:rRNA from 1 species
AUACGAAGGGGGCUAGCGUUGUUCGGAAUUACUGGGCGUAAAGCGCGCGUAGGCGGACUGAUCAGUUGGGGGUGAAAUCCCAGGGCUUAACCCUGGAACUGCCUCCAAUACUGUCAGUCUUGAGUUCGGGAGAGGUGAGUGGAAUUCCUAGUGUAGAGGUGAAAUUCGUAGAUAUUAGGAAGAACACCAGUGGCGAAGGCGGCUCACUGGCCCGAUACUGACGCUAAGGCGCGAAAGCGUGGGGAGCAAACAGGAUUAGAAACCCAGUAGUCC